AUUGAACGCUGGCGGCAGGCCUAACACAUGCAAGUCGAGCGAGCGGCGGACGGGUGAGUAAUGUCUGGGAAACUGCCUGGUGGAGGGGGAUAACUACUGGAAACGGUAGCUAAUACCGCAUACCAUCAGAUGUGCCCAGAUGGGAUUAGCUAGGAGGUGGGGUAACGGCUCACCUAGGCGAAGCUCCCUAGCUGGUCUGAGAGGAUGACCAGCCACACUGGAACUUGGACACGGUCCCAACUCCUAAGGGAGGCAGCAGGGGGGAAGAUUGGCCAAUGGGCGCAAGCCGGAUGCAGCCAUGCCGCGGGUAUGAAGAAGGCCUUCGGGUUGUAAAGUACUUUCAGCGGGGAGGCGUUACCCGCAGAAGAAGCACCGGCUAACUCCGUGCCAGCAGCCGCGGUAAUUC
rnacentral:rRNA from 1 species